GAGAAGUGCAAUAUUCAGCCAAUU
rnacentral:siRNA from 1 species